UCGCCGGGCAAAGGAAGGCCUGGGGGUGAGACGCCCCGGGCUGGCCGGAAAUGGAGUCCGGGGGUCCCCGGGCUCGUGGAAACGGUGGAUCCAGAGGCUGGGAGAGGAGGAUACCCAGGAAAAGGGGUGCAGGGAGUGUUGGGGCAGGAUAAGGGUGUGCAGGGGGUCCUGGAAAUGGGGAAGGAGAUGCGGGGGGUCCCUGUGCCCAGGAACAGGGAUUAAAGGGCCUCCCCGGGGAGCUCCCCAAAGCCUCUCUCAGGGGGGAGCAGGAGUUGGGUCAGUAAGUCUGGGAAGAGAAAAGGGGGUGGCCCCGGCUUGGGGGGGACAUGAGGGAGUCACACACUCUCCCGGGGGGACACGACCCCCGGGGACCCCCACUCACCUUCUCCCACAGGGGAGGCCGAGCCCCAGCCCAGGCAGCAUCCUGGGGGGAGGGACGGGCAGGAUCCGGGAGAGGGCAGCAGCUCGCGGGUGCCGCGGUUGCCUGAUGACCACAAACAGGGCGGCACCGUCUGUGCCAGCGGCGCGGCCUCAGUUGGCUGAGAACGCGGUCCUGGCUGGUUGUGCGCAGCCUGGGCUCCUGCAGGCGGCUUCGCAGGGCGAUUUGCCAAGUGAAUUGUUCACGGAGCAUUGGUCUCUGCAAGCGAGUCCUGUGAAUUUGCGGAGCAUUGGUCUCUGCAGAGGAUUCCUAAACGUGCAGGACAUCGUUCUCUGCUAGGGAGUCCUCAAUUCGCACAGCAUUGGCCUCUUAGGAAGGUUCCUCCACGUGCAGAGCUUUGGCCUCUGCGAAAGGUUCCUGAAUUUCCUUUGAAGUUUUGUUGAGGCAUUGCCACUCAUCUGGGAGACCCUCCCUUCAAAAUGACUUCUGGAGUCCCAGAGAAGAGCUCGACACCUCAUCUUUUGUCCAGGAAAGAUUGACAUCUUUCACUUUUCCUCAGGUGGUGAAGGUCUCCAUGGGGAGCUCCCCUUACUUCCAGCUCACGUGCUCCAGCGAUGUGUUCCGUGUCGUGCCGCCGGGCGCGUCUGCCCCUGUGCGCAUCCGCUUCAGCCCUGGUGAGAACAAGGAUUAUUCCCAUGAGCUCAUCUGUGUCACUGAAAGGGAAAGGAUAGUUGUGCCAAUUCGGGCCAUUGGUGCCCGAGCUAUCCUGGACUUCCCUGCCCAGCUGGACUUCUCCAAGUGUCCAGUCAAGCGCAGCACCCAGAAGACUCUGCUGGUCUGCAAUGUCGGUACCCAGGCAGCUCAUUACCAGCUGAGCACCCAGAGGUGAAGAAAAUAUCCACACAAACCUCCGCGGAGAUGCUGUAGAAAUCAAUGUUGGGUUGAGCACAAAUUCCGUGGAGCUUGAGAAGACUUUCAUCACCAUGUCAAGCCACAAAACCAUGUUCAUUGAAAACAGGAGUAACAUCACAGCCCACUUGCAGUGGAAGGCUUUUCCUACUGAGGAAGGAGAGAUCGAAGAGAAGAGGCGGGUCUUGGAUAGUGGACUUUGGAAGCGGGCGACUCCCACUCCGACUGGGCCUCAACACCACCACCACCACCAGCCUCUGGUAAGGGUUCCCAAAUCGAUGGGAUGGACUCUUGUCUCCCUCCUGCUUUUUUCCAUAGUCUCUCAAACACCUGAUUUAGCUGUUCCUCCUUCAAAAAACCAACAAGAGCCUCAUCCAAAGACUGAGCCAGUCUAUGAAGUCUCUGCACUUGUACGCUUAGAAUUAGCGCCGCCAACUUGAUGAUACCCAAAGCACCAUCCUUAAAACUCGAAUACAAGAUUGCAUCGCACGUUACUCGGUGGGAGGUGAAGCCACUCCCUGACCACUUUUCGAAUUGACAGGUCAAGGGAUUCGAGGAGGCCCACAUUGACCUCUGUAUGGUCGGCCAGAUAGAUCAGUCUCGGGAUGGUAUAAGUCCUGAGUAUAUCGAUCUUCUGAAGAGGCUUCAGGGAUGACCACCCAAUCCGCUGGAGCCAGUCUGCAAGUUUCUCUGGUAAUCCAGAAUCCACAAAACCAGUCCAAGGAUCAACCCACCUGCCAAGAAAUUACUCUGAACUCCCUGGGUCGAUCAUGUUUAGGGGGGAUCCAUUUAUUACCCAUAUGAGACAAUCGUUGAUGGUAUAUGAGUCCCUGGUUGGCUUGAUGUAAAAGCCAUGACAUUUCUCCCCCUGAGUAUGUAGACCUGUUAGCUGACAAAAGGCCUCCAAAAUUUUGAUGCUACGUUGCAUGCUUUCCCAAGAAUCACUCAGUAGCACCAGGUCGUCAGCAAAUGCCAUGGCCGUAACUUUCCACUCUCCAUGCUGGAACCCUUGACCUUCAUUUUCGAGUUUACAUAGAAGGGGAUCCAUCGCCAAAUUGAACAGCAAAGGUGACAUAGGGUCGCCUUGAUUGACACCCCAACGAAUGUAAAUGGGAUCUGUUUUAUCCUUUCCGAUGAAGAUGCACGUUUUAAUGUCACAAUACAUCUCCCUUACCAACUGCAACGCAUGUGAAUCCACACCUCCCGGCCUCAGACCUUCAAUUACAUGCUGGUGACAAACAGUGUCUAAGGCCUUGGCAAUUUGUCCACAAACACCACCCCCAGGUGUUUAUGCUCCCGCUUUGAUCUUUUAACCACAAGCUGUAGCAGCUUGAGGUUCUCGGCACAACCCGACGCGCAGAUAAAGCCCCUUUGCCGGGGGUAAUGGGACAUGUCCAGGACGGUCUCGCAGUAGCGAUCUUGGAAAAUAGCCUAAUCACCAUCGACCCAAUGGUGAUAGGCCUCCAGUUAUUGAUAUCACCAAGUCUGCUCACCUUAACAGACUUGGGUAUCAAAACCGUCCGGCAGUCCCGCAGCGCGUCUGGGAUUGUACCGGCAAUCAACCAGAGGUUGUAGAUCGCAGUCAACCGGGAGAGCUUAGGGUUUUUUUUAAUAAGAUGACCCACCGUAAUCCCAUCUGGUCUGGGAGCGGAGGUUUUACACAUCUCACUCAGGUUCUUACAAUUUCUUUCUUGGUAAUCAAGGCCUCAAACAUGGUAUUAUCGGCCUCCAUAUACUGAGGAAAAUUAACAAGGCCACCAAACUCGACAGAUGUAUCCCAUCGCUUAUUAAAGUGUUCAUGGACAACACCAGAUGGAAGUAGGCACUGCAAGGCUUCCAUGCUGUCCCAGAUAAUACACACAAGAUGCCUUCUAUGCAACUCGUAUAACAUCUGAUAUCUCAGAAAUUUACCUCUCUUAAUAACUCUC